UCAAGACUGGCUUGCAGUAUUCAUUGAUGUAGCA
rnacentral:sRNA from 1 species